rnacentral:rRNA from 1 species
CCUACGGGUGGCAGCAGUGGGGAAUAUUGCACAAUGGGGGAAACCCUGAUGCAGCGACGCCGCGUGAGUGAAGAAGUAACUCGUUAUUUAAAGCUCUAUCAGCAGGGAAGAAAAUGACGGUACCUGAGUAAGAAGCCCCGGCUAACUACGUGCCAGCAGCCGCGGUAAUACGUAGGGGGCAAGCGUUAUCCGGAUUUACUGGGCGUAAAGCGCUCGUAGGCGGUAUGUCAAGUCAAGGGUGAAAUCCCCCGGCUCAACGUGGGAACUGCCGUUGAAACUGGCAAACUGGAGUGUGUGAGAGGUUAGUGGAAUGCCAGGUGUAGGAGUGAAAUGCGUAGAUAUCUGGAGGAACAUCAGUGGCGAAGGCGACUAUCUGGCACAUAACUGACGCUGAGGAGCGAAAGCGUGGGGAGCAAACAGGAUUAGAUACCCGAGUAGUC